rnacentral:rRNA from 1 species
GAUGAACGCUGGCGGCGUGCCUAAUACAUGCAAGUCGAGCGAACGGACGAGAAGCUUGCUUCUCUGAUGUUAGCGGCGGACGGGUGAGUAACACGUGGAUAACCUACCUAUAAGACUGGGAUAACUUCGGGAAGCCGGAGCUAAUACCGGAUAAUAUUUUGAACCGCAUGGUUCAAAAGUGAAAGACGGUCUUGCUGUCACUUAUAGAUGGAUCCGCGCUGCAUUAGCUAGUUGGUAAGGUAACGGCUUACCAAGGCAACGAUGCAUAGCCGACCUGAGAGGGUGAUCGGCCACACUGGAACUGAGACACGGUCCAGACUCCUACGGGAGGCAGCAGUAGGGAAUCUUCCGCAAUGGGCGAAAGCCUGACGGAGCAACGCCGCGUGAGUGAUGAAGGUCUUCGGAUCGUAAAACUCUGUUAUUAGGGAAGAACAUAUGUGUAAGUAACUGUGCACAUCUUGACGGUACCUAAGCAGAAAGCCACGGCUAACUACGU